ensembl:snRNA U6 U6 spliceosomal RNA
GUGCUCGCUUCAGCAGCACAUAUACUAAAAUUGGAAUGAUACAGAGAAGAUUGGCAGGGACCGUGCUCAAGGAUGACAUGCAAAUUCGUAAGUGUUCCAUACUUUU